CCGUACACAAAAGCGCAUGUGCUGUGAGCUCGAUGAGUAGGGCGGGACACGUGGUAUCCUGUCUGAAUAUGGGGGGACCAUCCUCCAAGGCUAAAUACUCCUGACUGACCGAUAGUGAACCAGUACCGUGAGGGAAAGGCGAAAAGAACCCCGGCGAGGGGAGUGAAAAAGAACCUGAAACCGUGUACGUACAAGCAGUGGGAGCACAGGUUUACCUGUGUGACUGCGUACCUUUUGUAUAAUGGGUCAGCGACUUAUAUUCUGUAGCAAGGUUAACCGUAUAGGGGAGCCGGAGGGAAACCGAGUCUUAAUUGGGCGUUAAGUUGCAGGGUAUAGACCCGAAACCCGGUGAUCUAGCCAUGGGCAGGUUGAAGGUUGGGUAACACUAACUGGAGGACCGAACCGACUAAUGUUGAAAAAUUAGCGGAUGACCUGUGGCUGGGGGUGAAAGGCCAAUCAAACCGGGAGAUAGCUGGUUCUCCCCGAAAGCUAUUUAGGUAGCGCCUCGUGAAUUCAUCUCCGGGGGUAGAGCACUGUUUCGGCUAGGGGGCCAUCCCGGCUUACCAACCCGAUGCAAACUGCGAAUACCGGAGAAUGUUAUCACGGGAGACACACGGCGGGUGCUAACGUCCGUCGUGAAGAGGGAAACAACCCAGACCGCCAGCUAAGGUCCCAAAGUCAUGGUUAAGUGGGAAACGAUGUGGGAAGGCCCAGACAGCCAGGAUGUUGGCUUAGAAGCAGCCAUCAUUUAAAGAAAGCGUAAUAGCUCACUGGUCGAGUCGGCCUGCGCGGAAGAUGUAACGGGGCUAAACCAUGCACCGAAGCUGCGGCAGCGAACGUAUCACCCAAGACAACUUUACGGAGUUGACGAUUGACGGAGCGAAGCGACGUCAAAGCGUUCAUUAAAGUCGAGUUGGCUUAGGGAUACGUUCGUUGGGUAGGGGAGCGUUCUGUAAGCCUGUGAAGGUGUGUCGUGAGGCAUGCUGGAGGUAUCAGAAGUGCGAAUGCUGACAUAAGUAACGAUAAAGCGGGUGAAAAGCCCGCUCGCCGGAAGACCAAGGGUUCCUGUCCAACGUUAAUCGGGGCAGGGUGAGUCGACCCCUAAGGCGAGGCCGAAAGGCGUAGUCGAUGGGAAACGGGUUAAUAUUCCCGUACUUGGUGUUACUGCGAAGGGGGGACGGAGAAGGCUAUGUUGGCCGGGCGACGGUUGUCCCGGUUUAAGCGUGUAGGUGUGUGUUCCAGGUAAAUCCGGUUCACUUUAACACUGAGGCGUGACGACGAGGCACUACGGUGCUGAAGCAACAAAUGCCCUGCUUCCAGGAAAAGCCUCUAAGCAUCAGGUAACAUCAAA
rnacentral:rRNA from 1 species